CUCUCUCUUUGCCCGCACGGUUCGCGGUGCCAUCCUCGAGAUAUGUUUCCUCCUUCCCCUCAACCUAUCCCAUCCCGUCCCCUCCGCGUCUCACUCCCGUUGACAUUUUCGGUCGUGUUCGCGUCAGUUCGCACUCUGUGCCACUCGGUGCGUUUGGCGCUGCUCGAUGCAACGGCGUACGACGGAUGAAGCGUUGGUUGUGUAGCGUAUCACAGAGUAGCAACGGUUUCGAAUAAAUUGCACCAAGAAUUUCGAGUUUGUUACGCAUCGCCUCACACGCGAUUUAGCCCCAUAUGUGACCAUCGCUAAAACUAGAUAUAUACUAUUGUGUCAAAUAUAGAGGAUCGUAUGAUACGAGUGUUGAACUCGAUAAUACCGGAGAUAUAACGCAUUUGAUUCAAACAUCGACAUAUCUCUAUUUUAUAUAUUUUUAAACACCGAGGGUAUUGAUGACUCAUCAUAUCCAACGUCGAUGAGAAAUGUAUGCUUCUUUGGAAUUAUGGUCCACUGGUGUUCACGCCGAUGGAGUGACCAAUGAAUGUAGGUUUACGGGAAGCACGCAUUUUGCAGGAAUGCUUUCAUCUUUCAUUGAAUCUGUUUUCCAAAAUGCAUCAAGCAAAGACUAGUGUAAUCUUGUGGCCAUGAUUCGAGUUGUUUAAAUAAAAGCUUGUCCAUAAUAUAAUCGAAUGAUGGAGAAUCGAUAGAUAUGCGCAAGUUAUGUUAUUAGCAAUCUUCAAUGAAAUUAAAUACAACAAGAACGUACAUACUCAAUACACAGACAAGUUAGGGCCAUGGCACACGAGAAAAUUUAAGCAAUAAAGCGAUUUUCAGUGCUGGCAGUGAAUAUUGGAACGCAGCCUGAAUAUUGUGGAUUGUUCAUGGUUGUAAAAGAAAGAAGAAACACGUUGUUCGUGUACGUUUUAAAUAACACGUUGUUUUGUUUUAAAAAUUCUAUUUUUAAAAAUAAGCA